UGGGUCUAGGGGCCUAUCAGGAUGACC
rnacentral:misc_RNA from 1 species